rnacentral:rRNA from 1 species
GACCGCCUGGGGAGUACGGCCGCAAGGUUAAAACUCAAAUGAAUUGACGGGGGCCCGCACAAGCGGUGGAGCAUGUGGUUUAAUUCGACGCAACGCGAAGAACCUUACCUGGCCUUGACAUGCAGAGAACUUUCCAGAGAUGGAUUGGUGCCUUCGGGAACUCUGACACAGGUGCUGCAUGGCCGUCGUCAGCUCGUGUCGUGAGAUGUUGGGUUAAGUCCCGUAACGAGCGCAACCCCUAUCCCUAGUUGCUAGCAGUUCGGCUGAGAACUCUAGGGAGACUGCCGGUGACAAACCGGAGGAAGGUGGGGAUGACGUCAGGUCAUCAUGGCCCUUACGGCCAGGGCUACACACGUGCUACAAUGGUGCGUACAGAGGGCUGCAAACCCGCGAGGGGGAGCUAAUCUCACAAAACGCAUCGUAGUCCGGAUCGGAGUCUGCAACUCGACUCCGUGAAGUCGGAAUCGCUAGUAAUCGCGAAUCAGAAUGUCGCGGUGAAUACGUUCCCGGGCCUUGUACACACCGCCCGUCACACCAUGGGAGUGGAUUGCACCAGAAGUGGAUAGUCUAACCUUCGGGAGGACGUUCACCACGGUGUGGUUCAUGACUGGGGUGAAGUCGUAACAAGGUAGCCGUAGGGGAACCUGCGGCUGG